rnacentral:rRNA from 1 species
AGAGCGAACGCUGGCGGCAGGCCUAACACAUGCAAGUCGAGCGCCCAGCAAUGGGAGCGGCAGACGGGAUAGUAACACGUGGGAACGUACCUUUCAGUUCGGAACAACCAAGGGAAACUUUGGCUAAUACCGGAUACGCCCGUAAGGGGAAGAUUUAUCGCUGAAAGAUCGGCCCGCGUCUGAUUAGCUAGUUGGUGAGGUAAUGGCUCACCAAGGCGACGAUCAGUAGCUGGUCUGAGAGGAUGAUCAGCAUCACUGGGACUGAGACACGGCCCAGACUCCGUACGGGAGGCAGCAGUGGGAAUAUGGACAAUGGGCGCAAGCCUGAUCCAGCCAUGCCGCGUGAGUGAUGAAGGCCUUAGGUUGUAAAGCUCUUUCGGUCAAGG